CUUUUAUGUUUCAAAAAUCAUCUUCAAUCUUUCCAAUUCCACCUCCUCGAUAUUGCACAUCACGAUUUGCCGCAUCGAUUUAGUAUAGUUUCAACCAAUCCGUUCCUUAUCGCAUCUUCUAUAGAUCUGUUCCAACGGUUUUACUCCCGGUGAACAGUUAGCUGCACGAUAAUAUAAGUCAUGUUUACUUUUU